rnacentral:rRNA from 1 species
AUGCCCCUACGGGGCGCAGCAGUAGGGAAUCUUCCACAAUGGGCGAAAGCCUGAUGGAGCAACGCCGCGUGGGUGAAGAAGGUCUUCGGAUCGUAAAACCCUGUUGUUAGAGAAGAAAGAGCGUGAGAGUAACUGUUCACGUUUCGACGGUAUCUAACCAGAAAGCCACGGCUAAAUAGGUGCCAGCAGCCGCGGUAAUAAGUAGGUGGCAAGCGUUAUCCGGAUUUAUUGGGCGUAAAGGGAAAGCAGG